UGGCUCAGUUGGUAGAGCAUGGUGUUUGCAACACCAGGGGUGUGGGUUCAAUUCCCAC
rfam:Salmo salar isolate Sally breed double haploid chromosome ssa16, whole genome shotgun sequence.